rnacentral:lncRNA from 1 species
AUGCAGCCCAAGUUGGACUGGCUUUCUGGCCUGAGGAGCGCACACUUGCCGGCUCAUGUUGGAUGUUUCAUCAAUCAUCACUCCCAAGUCUUUCAGCUCACUCUUCAGCUCUUCAGGCACUGGACUAACUCGGGGAGGGGUCGGCGCAACGACCCCUCGGGCAGGGCAGGGCCUGGCAGCCGAGAUGGCGGCGGGCCGGCCGGCCUCCCCGGCCGAGCAGCUCAUGUGGGCGGCCAGGCUCCGCCAGAGGCCGAGGCCAAGCCCCCGCACCACCGGGCCCUGCCGGCGCGGGCAGCCGCAGCCCCGCUUCCCCCGCCCGCCGUGAGCCGGGGCGGAGCGACAGCGAGGGGCGGCGCCUCCGCGAUCCCCGGGCCGCGCCGGGGGGAGGCGGCGGCGGCGACGGAUCCGGGCCCGGCGGAGGCGGAAGGGGCGGGCGGACGUGGCCCUGACUCUGCGGGACGCGCGAUGCUGCUGGUCUUUUUAGGGUCCAGAAAAAAAGGCAGAAGAGAACUUCAGAUAAUUGGGUGGAGCUCACAGAGGGUAUAACAGAAUACUUAAUCUUCAAAACUGUGAAGCCUGGAGUAGAACAUAGAAUAGCCUAGAAGUAUGACUUAACGGUAGGUCCUGAAGGAAUGUUUUUUAUUUUCUGCUGCUCAGAGAUCAAGAACAAAUAAUAGGAUUUCCUUGGUUUCAGCCUGUACUAUUCUCGAAAUUACAGAAGGGUUCAUAUGAGCCUUGUAUGACAGAUUUAUCAUAACGCUGUAUUGUCUGUAGAAAACUAGAAAGCCAUAUUGUUUCACUGUGGUUUGAGUAUUCCAGUCAAUGAAUGGAUUCAUUGACUGGAAUGACAGAGUGGUUUGGGCUGGAAAGGAUUGUCUAGUCUAGUCUCUUUGUCUUGGCCAGGGACACCUUCCAUUAGAUGAGGUUGCUCAAAGCUUCUUUCAGCAUGGCUUUAAACAUGGCCUGCAUCAGGCACCUGCAACUUCUCUGGGCAGCCUGUUCCAUUGUCUCACCACCACUCUCACAGUAAAGAAUUUUCUCCUUAUAUCCACUCUGAAUCUCCCUCUUUUAAUUUAAAACCAUUGACCCUUCUCCUAAAUUAAGCUGCUAGUAAAAAGUCUUCAUCUCUCUUACAAGCUUCCUAAAUGAAUGGAAAGACUUCAGUAAGAUGAAGUUGGUCCUGACUUGGUACAACUCUCUUACUUGUGGGCUAAUUUUUUACAUUGUCAUUUUCUGAUAUGUUCUUAAUUUUAUUGCUUUGGAGGAUAAGGCAUGUUAAAAUUGCAAACAUGUUUUUAUGGACUUGUGUAAAAAUGGAUCUUCUCUGCCUGAUGUUUUCAAUGGGCCUUUCCAGGUGAAUGUGUUCCUUCUUCAUAAUAUCAGGAGGCUGAUGAAUUGGUAGUCAUCUCUUCACUGUGUCCUGAACUUUGUGCACUUAAAACUCAUGGGACUAGUGUAUUUUCUUACUUUCUUAUUGUUUCAUUCACAAUUCAUUCAGUAUUUAUCCUCUGUACUCCUAUUAGUAGUUCUUUCUACCCACCAUUACUGACUGUAUGUUCUCUUGCUGGUAAAAUGACAUUGAGAGAAGUGGUGUCCUACUUAGCAAAGAAAUUAAUGUAAGCUUAUGCUUGCCAGAUAUAAGCAUUCUCUGCUACCAAAAUGCCUUAGCCUUUCAGGUAAUCUGUAAUAGAAUCUCAAGUCUGGAAGAGUUAUUGAUAACUGAAGAAAAAGUUACUUGUAGUAUCUUCUGGUUAAUCUUUGAUACCCAUAAGGGUGUUUAUUAAAUGAUGAGCUACCACAGAACCCAGAGUUGCUCAGAAGUACUGGACUUUCACUGUUGAAUAGGAAGGAACUAUUUACACUUGCUGGUAGGUAGUGUCUGUUGCUUGGAAAGCUUUUCACCAUUAUGGUUUGUUGUUAGCAUUAGGGUUUUGUUGUCAGCUGCGCUGAUCGAAGUACCUACAGCCUUUGGGUAAUUCUGGGUAUUGUCUCAUUUUGCAGUGAAUUGCAAAACCAAGGAAUUGGUAUUUCACAUCUUAAGAUGGAUUUCUCAUCUGUGUAAAUGACAGUAUUUCAAUGAAAUAUAAAUAAUAAUAAUAAAUUUUGAAUCUUUAGUGUGGAUAGAUUUGGA